rnacentral:rRNA from 1 species
CGGCAUGGCUAAGACAUGCAAGUCGAACGGACCAUAUAAUUGGGUAACCGAAAGUAUGGUUAGUGGCGAAAGGGUGAGGAAUAGAUAGGAACGUACCCUGUGCUCUGGGAUAGCGUCUGAAGCUUCGGCUUCUUCCGAAAGGGGCGGUAAUACCAGAUAAUGUCCUUCGGGACCAAAGAUUUAUCGGCAUUGGAGCGGCCUAUCUCCUAUCAGCUUGUUGGUGAGGUAACGGCUCACCAAGGCAACGACGGGUAGCGGGACUGAGAGGUUGGCCCGCCACAUCGGGACUGAGACACUGCCCGGACCUCCACGGAGGGCUGCAGUAACGGAUAUUGGGCAAUGGGCGAAAGCCUGACCCAGCAAUGCCGCGUGCAGGAUGAAGCCCCUAGGGGUGUAAACUGCUGUCAGGGGUCAGAAAGCUGGUUUCGGCCAGUUGAUCAACCCCAGAGGAAGUCACGGCUAACUUCGUGCCAGCAGCCGCGGUAAUACGAAGGUGGCAAGCGUUAUUCGGAAUCAUUGGGCUUAAAGGGCACGCAGGCGGAACAGUGUGUGUUGUGUGAAAUCCCCCGGCUUAACCGGGGAAUUGCACAGCAAACUGCUGUUCUUGAGGCAGGUAGGGGUGCAUGGAACUCUUGGUGGAGCGGUGGAAUGCGUAGAUAUCAAGAGGAACGCCAGAGGUGAAGACGGUGCACUGGGCCUGUCCUGACGCUGAGGUGCGAAAGCGUGGGGAGCGAACGGGAUUAGAUACCCCGGUAGUCCACGCCGUAAACGAAUGUCUACUANGUCGUGGGUGUUCUGACACAUUCAC